UACGAGGGGGGCGAGCGUUGUUCGGAAUUAUUGGGCGUAAAGAGCUCGUAGGCGGUCUGUCGCGUCUGCCGUGAAAACCCGAGGCUUAACCUCGGGCUGGCGGUGGAUACGGGCAGACUAGAGGUAGGUAGGGGAGAAUGGAAUUCCCGGUGUAGCGGUGAAAUGCGCAGAUAUCGGGAGGAACACCGGUGGCGAAGGCGGUUCUCUGGGCCUUACCUGACGCUGAGGAGCGAAAGCGUGGGGAGCGAACAGG
rnacentral:rRNA from 1 species